rnacentral:rRNA from 1 species
CGUAUGGGGCAAGCGUUGUUCGGAAUUAUUGGGCGUAAAGGGCUCGCAGGUGGUUUGUUAAGUUGGUGGUUUAAUCUCUGGGCUCAACCCAGAGUCAGCCUCCAAAACUGGCGAACUUGAGUACGAUAGGGGAUAGCGGAAUUCUCGGUGUAGCGGUGGAAUGCGUAGAUAUCGAGAGGAACACCAAUGGCGAAGGCAGCUAUCUGGAUCGUAACUGACACUCAUGAGCGAAAGUGCGGGGAGCAAACAGGAUUAGAUACCCUGGUAGUCCGCACCGUAAACGUUGUAUACUAGUUGUUGGUGGUUUCAACGCCAUCAGUGACGUCGCUAACGCAUUAAGUAUACCGCCUGGGGAGUAUGCUCGCAAGGGUG